rnacentral:rRNA from 1 species
CUGGCUCAGGAUGAACGCUAGCGACAGGCUUAACACAUGCAAGUCGAGGGGCAGCACGGGAGUAGCAAGUACUUGGUGGCGACCGGCGACACGGGUGAGUAACGCGUAUGCAACCUACCUAUCAGAGGGGAAUAACCCGGCGAAAGUCGGACUAAUACCGCAUAAACAGGGGCACCGCAUGGUGAUAUUUGUUAAGAAAUUCGCUGAUAGAUGGGCAUGCGUUCCAUUAGGUAGUUGGUGAGGUAACGGCUCACCAAGCCGACGAUGGAUAGGGGAACUGAGAGGUUGGUCCCCCACACUGGUACUGAGACACGGACCAGACUCCUACGGGAGGCAGCAGUGAGGAAUAUUGGUCAAUGGGCGGGAGCCUGAACCAGCCAAGUCGCCGUGAAGGAAGAAGGAUCUAUGGUUCGUAAACUUCUUUUGCAGGGGAAUAAAGUGCAGGACGUGUCCUGUUUUGUAUGUACCCUGAGAAUAAGGAUCGGCUAACUCCGUGCCAGCCGCCGC